AUGGACGAGUCCGGGGACGCCGGCAGGGGAGGGAGGGGCGGCGGGAGGUCGAGGCAGAAUGGGGGCCGCUCGUCGGUUCGGCUCGGCGUGCGGAUGGAGUUCAGGUUCUCCGGCUUCCACGCCGUUCAGGUACCAGUAGUAUCAGACAGGCUGCUCAUUACAAUCACGUCAGUAGACAGUGGAAAAACAAUUGCCAAGUCAAGUAAAGCGGCUGCUAUUAAUGGAGCCUGUCAAUGGCAUGACUCCAUCCUGCAAGCAAUUCGGUUUCCUAAAGAUGAAGUGUCACACGAAUUUCAGGAGUGCCAGUGCAAGAUUGUUGUUUCCAUGGCAUCAACAAGAACUGCUGUUCUUGGGGAAGCGUACCUAAAUCUGACGAACUAUCUCAGUUCAUCAGACUCCACUGACAUCUCUUUGCCAUUGGACAAGUGCAAUUCUGGCACAGUUUUACAGCUUAAGAUUCAAUGUCUUGGUGCAAAAUCUAAAUCAAGUGGGAAAUCAUGGAAAGAGCUAUCUUCUAAUCUUAAGGAGAGUCCAACCAAUGAUGAGAUGGACAAAAAGCCAGACGUCUUUGACAUUCUGUUGAAGUUGAACAAGGGUGCUCAGUCUUUGUCAGAAAAUAAUUUAGAAGCUGAUAAUGCAGAUGAAUCUGGAAAUAGGGAUGCAAGUUUCUCAGCAUCAAAGUCUCAUGGUGAUGAUUCAUCCAAAAAUCACCUUGACACCGCCGAAGAAAAACUUGAGGAAUUACGUAACGCGGCAAAAAUGUGGGAGAGACAUUCUCGCAAGUUGAAAAUUGAACGGAAGACAUUGAAGAAUGAGUGUGCUGACAAAUCCAAGCAACAGGCUGAGCUAGAACGGCAACUUUCUGCUUCACUUUCUGAACAGGAUUCCUUGAGGCAAGAAAUUGAACAAGUAACAGCCCAACUGAACAAGACCCAAGAGACCAAUAUAGAGCUUGUUUCCAUUCUCCAAGAACUGGAAGAAACGAUAGAACUGCAGAGAGUGGAAAUGUCCAAACUUCCCCAAGUGAGUGAUGUGGCUGACCACGAGGUCUCCAAAAGUGAAUCGACAGUUCAAGAAGCUGCAGAAUGGGCUAGAAUACUGUCACAAAAAGAAGAUGAAAUCACAGUGUUGAGGGAGAAACUGAACCGUGUUCUCAAAAUGGAGAAUGCAGAUGGUGCAGGCCCAGAUGCUAUUUAUCUUGAAUUGGAAAAAGAAAAUGAUUUUUUGAAGGUCAAAAUGCAGGAGCUUGAGAAUGACUGUUCUGAAUUAACGGAGGAAAAUUUCAGGCUUAUAUACAAGUUGAAAGAAGCGAGUGGGGUGGCGAAAGAAGAGGAUCCCUGCAUUUCUAAUAGUGAAGAAAUGCCCAAUGUGGGGAGCCCAACAUAUAAGAUAAAACACCUAGAGAGAAAAUGUGCUGACCUUGAGUUGAAUCUGGAGAAUUUUAGGUCCGAGUUCAGUGGGCUAGAAGAGAAGUUCCAGAAAAGCCAAGAGGAGUUAAAAGAGAGAACACUUGAAUUAUCUGAGCUGAGGGAAAAGCUCUCCCAUGCCACUGAACUGGAGGGGGCUGACACUGGUAGUUCAAAACAUUACAGACUGAGAAGUGAAGAACCUGAUGAUACUGAAACUGACUUAGAUGUGUUGAAGCGUACAGUUCAGCUGAAAGAACAAGAGAUCGAUGGUUUGCAACACUAUACGAGAGAAAUGGAGAACACCAUUGCUGAUAUUCAGAAAGAGAAGAGUCAGUUAGAGGAACGUUUGGCAGCAUCACUUGAAGAAAGUAGCAUGACUUCAAAAUGCUUGGAUGAAGCGCGUGAAAAUCUCCGUGUGCUUACCAGCAGUGUAGAUUCCCAUGUUUCUGCCAAUGAGGUUCUCGAAACAAAGAUCAGUGAGCUUGUGCGCACAGUUAUGCUGAAAGAACAGGAGAUCGAUGCGCGGGAAGAUCUCCUUGUGCUUAGCAGCAGUGUAGAUUCCCAUGUUUCUGCCAAUGGGGUUCUCGAAACAAAGAUCAAUGAGCUUGUGCGUACAGUUAUGCUGAAAGAACAGGAGAUCAAUGGUCUGCAACAUUGUACGACAGAAAUGGAGAACACUAUUUCUGAUAUUCAGAAGGAGAAGGAUCAGCUAGAGGAACGUCUGGCAGCAUCACUUGAAGAAAGUAGCAUGACAUCAAAAUGCUUGGAUGAAGCGCGAGAAGAUCUCCUUGUGCUUACCAGUAGCGUAGAUUCUCAUGCUUCUGCCAAUAAGGUUCUCGAAACAAAGAUUAGCGAGCUUGAAAGCCGCAAAGUUGAACUAGAGUUGCUUGUAACAAAGCUGGAACAAGAGAAUAUUGAGUUUUCCGAGUUCAUAUCUGAACUAGAGGCUCAGUUGACUUCUCUCACAAGUGAAGAGGAGUCAACCAGGCUAGAAAUGGAUUAUUCUAUAGCACUUAUCGCAAAUCUUAAGGAUUUAGUAGAACAGCAGCAAGCAGAGAUGGAAGCUCAAAAGCUGGAAAUGAAGCAAAAGCAUUUGGAGUCCCAAACUAGAUUGUCAGAAGUACAAGAGGAUUCGGAGGCUCUAAGAAGAUCAAAUGCAAAACUACAGGCCACAAUUGAUAGUGUUGCUGAAGAAUGCAGUUCUCUUCAGACUCUAACAACUGACCUAAAGAAGCAGAAGCUGGAAUUACAUGACCAUUGUGCACAGCUGGAGCAGCAAUUAGAUCAAUCAAAAAGGAAGACAAUGGAUUUGUUCGAAACAGCAGAGUUCCUAGAGGCAAAACUCUCUACACUUCAAAAAGAGGUAACUUUAAAAGAGCAAUCUUUGCUUUCAGAGCUGGAGAAUAUAUUCCAGGAGCACAAGGAACACGAAGAAAGGAUAAAUAGUGCACAUUUCCUUUUACACAAGAUAGAGAACGAAAAGAUUGGUGAAGUGAAGAAUCUUGAGAGGGAGGUCAUGAACCUUACUGCACAGCUGUCCUCCACAGACGGGGAGAAAGAAAGUGCCGCCUUGGAUAGCAUACAUGAGGUCUCCAUCCUGCGAGCAGACAAGGCUAAACUUGAGGCUAACCUUGAAGAUGUCAGUGCACAAAUGAGACAUUAUCAGUCUCAGUUGGAAGAUCUUCGUACAGAGUCUAAAACCAAAAUUAAAGGCCUGAUUGAUUCGCUUAACGCAUCCAAACAUAAUGAGGAAACGCUGACAACAGAUGUUGAGCAUAUGACAAGAUUGAUGGAAGCUGCUAGAUCCAAUGAAGAAAACUUAAGGAAAACUUCAGACGAACUAGAGUUGAAGUAUAAAUCCAGUGAUUAUGAGAAACAGGAAGUAAUGGAGGAAAUUUCUGGACUAAAAAUCCAGGUUAGCAAAAUGGCAAGCAUCCAAGAUGAAGUUUUCAAACUACAAAGUUCUCUUGAUCAGGCUAAGUUUGAAAAGACAAAAUUAGAAGAGCGUCUGCAGUCACUAUCUGAAGAAUGUGAAGAACUAAAGGUGCAGAAUGCCAUGUUAACAGACAAAGUCUCUUGUAUCCAGAGUACUUUGCAUGAUGCUGAUGAAGAAAAUCGUCAUAAAUCCACUCAAGCAAAGCUUGUAGUAAAUAAGGGUAAUGACGACGCUGCUAAUGACAAUGGAGGUACUCAUGUUAAUGAAGAUCUAGACAUUCACUCAAAGCUAGAAUUACUGGAGACUAGACUUGCUGAUGCAUUGGAGGAAAAUAAAUCAUAUAGGGCGCAGCUGCAAAGGACAUAUUUUGUCGACGUCGGAGGGUACCGGCAUUCCCAGACAACCACCGUGCAAGAGCUGAGUAAUUCCAAGCAAGUGCAGAACUGGAUAUGUGCUCUGAGCUGCACCGGAAGCUGUGCCCCCAAAAGAAUAAAAUGCUCAUGGUUCUCACUUCUCAGGUCUCAGUGA
rnacentral:rRNA from 1 species